UGGCAUCGGACUCGAGGAGAAAAUCGGUUGGCACCUGAAUAUAGCUUUCCCAUUCCAGGCUUCCAUGUUUUGGAGACACCAUUCUAAUUCCAGGCGGAUUUCGUCUGUAAGGAAAAUCGAAUGGUCGUAAGAUCGGGAUCUAUGAAGAUAUCACGUCUUGAGGCGUUACAUCGCCCUGUAAUGUAAGGGACCAGGCAAAAUUGCCUGAAUGUAGGCUGACAGGAGUCCUAUUAUACGCGCUAAAUUGCGAAGGAGAAUAUGUUGAGAGGGCAGUAUUCUCUGAAUGUCUCUUUUGAU